CCCCCAAGGAGCUUAAAAUCUAACUGGAGGGUAUAUGCCACAAACAUGAAUAUGCAUGCUACAGAGCAUAAUAAGGGCAAAGGAGAGAUUCAAAGCACUGGAAUUUGAGGAAGAAGAAACUGAUAUUCAGUUUGGGGAGGGGAGGUCAGGGAUGGUUUCAAAGACGUGGCACCUGAGGCGGACCUUAAUUUUCACUGAGAUUUAGCAUUUACUUCAUUUAUGAAUGUAGGCAAUAAUAUGGAGUGGCCAACAGAUUUCACCAGACUGCCAAAGAGGGCCAGGACACAAAGAAGAUUAUGAAUAUCUGGUUUAGAAGAACUACACUGUCCACCUUUAGAAAGCUUUACCUUAUCUCGUUCUUGCUCCCAACACGUGACUUUUUAGACGAUUUAACCAAAGAAAGCUGAUCAACUGAUCCUGUUCAUCAUCCACCUAGAGACAUCCCAUCAAAAAGAAAAUGGAUUCUUCUCAGGAGCUGGUAAUUAGGAAGCACCCAAAUCUAUGACAGGCCAUAUGUGCGGUGGAACGAGCACUGGAUUUGGAGGAAGAGGACCUAGAUCCAUAUUAUGAGUCUGCCAGCCACCACCUGAAUGGACAAGUCAUUUUAUCUUUCUAUGCCUCAGUUUCCUCAACUGUAACACGAAAGUCUGGGGCUGAGAACUCAGUAUUACUCAACACUGAUACAUCGGCCAAAAAAAGUUCAUGUGAUCUUGGGACGAAUUAAGAAAGCAUGGUGUACAAGAAUAAGGAAUUGGUAAACCCUGGGGCAAGUCAUUUAAUCUCUGUUUGCCUUAAUCCAGAGGAGAAGGAAAUAGCAAAGCCCUCUAGUAUCUUUGCCAAGAAAACUCCACGGACAGCAUUGGCAUGUUACGGUCCACAGAGUUAAGUACAGUCAAACGCGACUGAACAGCUGAACACCAAAAAAGACCUUGGGGACUCUGCCUUGGUCAAACCACCUCUGGAAUGAUUUGUUCAGUCCUGGGCAUCAAAGAAUGACACGGAUAGGUUGGGGAGCAGUAAGACGAAGGCAAUCAGAAUGGUGAAGGGCUUCAAGUCCACACCAUAAGAGGAAUGACUGAAGGAACUGGUGAAGUUUAGCCUGAAAAAGACUUGGGGGGGGUGAAUUAGAAGGGAGGGAAGAAGACAUGAUAACUGUCUUCAAAUAUAUUAAAUAUGGAAUAUGGAAGAGAGAUAAAGUAGAGUUAUGACUAAUGGAUAAAAGUUACAAAGAGAAAAAUUUAGGUUUAGGUUUAAAAAAAAAUACAUUCAUAACAGUCAGGACUAUCCAAAAGUGAAAUUGUAAAAUUGGGCUGCCUUAGCAGAUAAUUAGGUGCCCAUUUCUUAGAGGUCUUCAGGUAAAGGUCAGAUGGUGAGGAUGGUUCUUAUCGUCCAAUUGUCCUGCUUUCCCAUCUACAAUCAAGUCAGAUUCCUGGGAGAGGAUGAGGGUUUAGCAUCAGUCUUUCCAUUUUACAGAAAACAAAUGUGAAAUCUAGGGAAACUAAGUGACUAGACAGAAUCACAUAGGGUAGUAACAAAAUCAUUCAUUCAAAUCCAAUUAAUAAAUGCCCUUCCUCCCAAAUUACCUUAUAGUUCACUACUUCCUCUUUGUAUAGAUUUUCUUUAGUCGAUAUAAACUUAUACGUGUACUUUUUUUCUCUUCUAUUAGAAGGUAAGCCCCUUGAAAGUAGGGACUGAUUCAUUUGUUUGUUUACAUCCCCAGUACCUAGCAUGGAGAAGUAAUUGGUUUAACUGAUUGACUGAAACUCUAAUGGAGCACGUGUCCAGUCAUGGACUAGUCUCUGCAGAAGAUACAAAAGAAAUAGAACAUAAAGUCCCAUUUAUCCAGAUGCUUAGUCUAGCCACACAGACAAACUGCAAAGUGAGGAUCCAAGAGUUAGGUAACAAUGUGAGGUUUUGUUUUGCUUUGUUUUUGGUCUGGACCUAUGAUUUCAUCAGUGUGGGGAGCUCCCAAGGAACUGGGCCUACCAAUGAAAAUCAGCCCCUGCUCUAUGACAUUCACAGAGGUUAAAUCACACGGCCAAAAUGUGUCAAAGGUGAGACCUGUCCCACCAGAGACAAGCUCUCUAUACACUAUCUCAUGCUGCCUCUCACAGCAUGAGAUGAUAAUACAACAAUAUAAGAGAGAUGUCACAAAUGCCAAGAGAGUGGCACAGACAGUCCUGACACCAUGCUCAGUGUUGUAAUCAGUUAAAAAUACUUCCUUCUCCAUAAAAGAUUUACCACCCUCAGGGGACUCUCCCCACUUUGUGACAUAUGGCUCCCUCCCACUACUCUGGCAGUCUCCCCUUUGCCUCCAUUUCAGGAUCCUCAAACCUCUUCCUUGUCUAGGGUACAGGAAUCCUGGCAAUACAAAGGCCUUUGCAAGGGAGGAGAACUGACUCUAGUCAUGAUGUAUCACCUGACCACCUGCAAAACAGCAAAAAACAAAAUAAAACCAAAAAAAAAACCUGCCCCAAGACUAAAACCCACAAAUGGCCAAAAGAACCUUCAUCAUCCUACCUUCCCAUGAUGCUGGAUCUAAUCACUCAGUCAGUCUUAGAAACCUGGACAUCUGAGGUAGGCAUGCCUGCUGUUCCCACAAUGACAAUCCCAAAUCAGGUCAUCCUGGGGUCCUCAAGGAGUCUGCCCUCUUCUAUUAUCCCCAGCAGGAAAACAUCACAUGCCUAAGCCAGUCUUUCAGCCCCUGCCAACCCAUAUGAGGAACCAUGUGGCAUGUCUCACCAUGCCAACAUGAGGUGAUCUGAAGAGCUAGGCAACAACCCUCCACAAUCACCUCUCCAACUGUUACAGGAGCAGAAAAAACCAAAGGGGAGUCCUAAGAAUAUCUCUUGUCCUCAUCCCUCCCAAGUGCUAGGACUUUCCCUUGGUAUGGCUAUCACACUGACCUUUCCAAAGGAGCUUAUUCUUGCUCUCCCUACCCAAAAGGAAGACAUGUGGCUGGCCUUAAUGGAAUAAACUUAAUAGAAUGGGCAGGAAUUCAUUCUUCCCUUCCAGAAGACACAAUCUAAUUUGUACACUAAUUGUCAUACUGGAAGCCUCCAGGACUCUCUCUGUAAGUGGGCUAGAAGGAUUUGGAGGAGUUGCCAACCUAGAAAUCCCCAGGUCUAGUCAAAUAAAUACUUAA